GAUGAACGCUGGCGGCGUGCUUAACACAUGCAAGUCGAACGGAAAGGCACCUGCUUGCAGGGGUACUCGAGUGGCGAACGGGGGAGUAACACGUGGGCGAUCUGCCCUGCACUUCGGGAUAAGCCUGGGAAACUGGGUCUAAUACCGGAUAGGACCACAUCUUGGAGGGUGAGGAGGAGAGUUUUUCGGUGUGGGCUGAGCUCGCGGCCUAUCAGCGUGUUGGUGGGGGAAUUGCCUAACAAGGAGUCGACGGGGAGCCGGCCGGAGGGGGUGGACGGCCACUUUGGGACUGAGAUGCGGCCCAGACUCCUGCGGGUGGCAGCAGUGGGGAAUAUUGCACAAUGCGCGCCAGCCUGAUGCAGCGACGCCGCGUGGGUGAUGACGGCUUUCGGGUUGUAAACUCCUUUCGCUAGGGACGAAGCGUUUUUGUGACGGUACCUGGAGAAGAAGCACCGGCUAACUACGUG
rnacentral:rRNA from 1 species